rnacentral:misc_RNA from 1 species
AACGCACAUUGCGCCCCCUGGUAUUCCGGGGGGCAUGCCUGUCCGAGCGUCAUUACGCCAAUCGAGCCUGGCUCGGUAUUGGGCGUCGUGGGCUGCAAAGCCCGCGCGCCUUAAAGUCUCACCGGCUGAGCGACCCGUCUCUAAGCGUUGUGGAAACUAUUCGCGGCGAGUGCGGGUUGGAGCGGCCGUUAAAUACCCCAUCAAAGGUUGACCUCGGAUCAGGUAGGGAUACCCGCUGAACUUAA